GACCUUUGUCGUGUUGCUUCAAAGUCUCCAGGUGGGUCUCAUGCUUGUCUCAUGUGGGUCCCUUGAUGAUGAUGUCUUGGAUGUUUAUACAGAUAUACUCUGUAUAAUUAUUUUGUACCUAUUACAAAUAUAGAAAGUCGAAAAGAAAAUAAUUUAUAAAAUAAAUUAUCUUUUAAUUAUAAUAAAUGAAAAAUUUCCGCGCAUAGCAUUGAUUCAUAUCUAGUUAGUACUAAAAUACAAGCUCAACAUUGUAGGUAGACCAGUCAUGCCAUUGUAAAUCACAAAAUCAAAAAAGACAAAUUAACAAGUUUAACAGGUUUUAGGAGACCUGUUCUAGUUAUGACAUAUUCUAGUCCUAUCCAAGGAUCACUAUUGAUUUAUUAUAUAUUUUUCAAAAUAUUAAAACGUGAUCAUGUACGGACAAGGCUAAAUUGAUAUACGGUCUUUUGGUCCAAAGUCCAAACACAGUAAUUGAUUGUUAUUGAUUUGUGUUUUGAGAUGGAACACAUGCUACCAAAGGUGUUUUGUAACAAACUAGAAAGUGAUGUUCUCAUCUUCACCCUAUUUGGGUCGAGCUUUCAAGUAAGUAACUUAAGCGUGUGAAUGUCAAAAAGUAGAGGAAGAGCAAAGGGUUUUAGGCAAAUAUGAUGUGAUACUCUCAACAACUUUGUUUAUACCUAACCCUUCGAGAGAAGCACGCAUAAAUUAUGAAUAAUUAGAGAAAAAAAUACAUGAAGAUAAUUUACAUGCAUAAUGAAGGGUUCUAAGUGAUCAUUACAAUGUUCUUUUUAUUUACAUAUAAGACACUUGAAAUAUGAAGGAGAAUGUUAUAAAUAAAUUAGAUAUGGGAUAUAACGAGAGAAGAUAGACAAAACGGACAGAAAGGCAAAGACUCGACAACUUAGGUUCAAUGAAGUGUGAGGCCAACCCUAAGAACGAGCCUCACUGGCGUGAACCCCUUUUAAACCUUGACGACAUAAUAAAACUUGUUAGUAAAUUUUGGGAUUUUUGAUUGUUCAUAGCUUAUACAGUCACAAGGAGGUCUUUCUCAGGGAACUUGUAAGGAGGUGGUGGUGAGCUUGAGAUGCGGAUCAAGCCUGAUCCUGACAAUGGAACCAUCUGUAGAAGCCGGAAACCGAAUUGAAAUAACAGUAAUAAAUAAAGCGAUAUUAAGGAAAGAAACGAUUGUAAAACUCCGAUAGAAAACGAGAAAACAAACGUUUACAGAAACAGACAUGGAGUCGACAUACGAUCUCUUUCUUUAACUCUAAAUAUUUGUUCUGUAGUGAGACGGAACUGUACGAAUAUCGAGUCUCAGGAUACAACCAUGGUAAACGAUUCACCCUUCACUCGUGAAUGCCCUCACAAACUAUAAACUCUACGAAACAUUCUCGAACUAUUAUCUUGCGCUAAGGAAUUUUCUCAGUUGGUUUUCAAAGUAAAAGUAAUAAAAAUGAAUGAAGAGAGUCGGGUUUAUUUAAAAAGAAGGAAAAGAUCUACUUCCCGCAACAGCUGAUGUCGUGUGUGCGAGAAUCUCGCGGAGAUUGAAAGAAGUUGAGUUUCGAAACUUAUUCCGCAAGACGCUUUCUUCUCGUUUAAAAAAUAUUUUGGGCGAACAGACAAAGUGCGUUUCCUUUUGAAACGAACUACACGUCGUUUAGAACGAAUUGGGGGAUGUUUUUUGAUUCGAAAAUGGGCGAAAAACCAAAAUUAAUUUGGUACCAAAUAAUAAUCAUUGGGAGAGACACCCUCCAACAAGACCAAGCUGAGUAACACGGCGGAAGCCGAGCCGGUCACCUUCCGUAAAGUCUUUGACGAGUGAUAUGUCGUAAGACAUAUUUAUAGUACUCAGCAAUAUUCAACUUACCCGAUGUGGGACAAAGUUGAGCUUAUAUCACUUGUCCAUUUUGACAGUGUUUCACAUUCCGAGUUCAUCACUUCAUCACAUUAUUGCUCAUUCCAUUUAGCUUUGUUUUUGACAUAUGAAUAUACUUACUUGUAGUGCUCUUUACAAGCUUUCCAAAUAGCUAAUAAUCUGGUCAUGGCGCCCGCUGUUUUGGCCGAAAAACCACUGUAAAAGUAAAACAAGUCAGCCUUUAUAUUCUGUUAUAAAACAGAGUUCCAACACCAUCACCGUUACAUGUGAAAGAGCUCUAAUUUUUUAAAAAGUUUUUUUUUGAGUAUUAACAGUUGGGGUAAAGAAAUGAUUAUUGUAUUCGACUUUGCAGUGAUACUUGUAAUUUCCCUUGCGUGUGUGUGUGGUACUAAUGGUCUUUGUUUUAGAAUCUGAUUUAUGUGUGUGUGUUUGUGUAUGUUUAGCUUUGGAUAAGCUGAGGUUCUUGAGUGUGACAGAGACUCAAUCCAGAUUCUUGAAGGCUCUCAAGGAAAACGAGGAUCUUGGUGCUGGUAACGGUGGUUUGGGGUUGGCUUUUACUCUGCUUACUUAGACGACUGGGAACAGAGAAAGAGGCUCGUUUGUUCCUGUUUGAGUUUUUCAGAUUUUUGUUUAUAUUUGCC